UUACAGGUUACGAGGAGGUUCUCACAGAAUUAGAAAAGACCCAAUUUGGGUUGUACAGAAGUUAUGCAGUUACAGUCACUCUGGAUCCUGAUACAGCCCAUCCCCGGCUCAUCCUGUCUGAGGACCUGACC